UUUUAACUACAGUCUCAUAGGAACGCAGCGCCGGAAAAUCACGACCAGAUGUAAAUAAAGAGGCGCCUUGUUCUCUCCGUUAAAAUCCCCUUUAAACGCAACUGGAAAAAAUAAAGGAAAAGAACACGUGAGCAAUGUCAUGGGUGAGACAUACUGAUGGUAGAGGCUGCUCUGGCUCUACUGAGGGAUUCUGCCAGGUAGGAGCCACCACAGUAGCUGCCUGCUUAUGGUACUGAUCUGAGUGCUGCUAAAAAAUGCUUGUGCCUGCUGAAAACUGAAAGACAAGAAGGAGGCAGAAGAUCCUGAGGCACUGUGCACUCUCUGGGGCUCCCAGUUGACCUUCCAUGGCUGUUAAGGGGAAAGGGCUGCCCAGGCCUACCUGUGUGUGCUAAGAGCUGCACCAGGCAUUUCCCAAAUGCUGUGAGCUGUUGGCAACCUGAGCACUGGAACAUCUUGUUCAGUUCAGCAAGGUUCACACCUCUGCUUUGAAUUAUCUCCUGAGUCCCUUACAGAUGGCAAGAGUAGUACUGUGUGUGCGGCUCUUCAUCAUGGUAGACAGGCAGCCCAAGCCCUUCGUGGGGUGUCCACCAGCAUGAGGGCAGCUCAGAGCACUGGGACAGAGACACAAAAUACCUUUCAUUGACACGCCUUGCUGAUUAAAA